UGAGGAAUAUUGGACAAUGGGCGCAAGCCUGAUCCAGCCAUGCCGCGUGCAGGAUGAAGCAUCUAUGGUGUGUAAACUGCUUUUAUACAGGAAGAAACCCCUUUACGUGUAGAGGAUUGACGGUACUGUAGGAAUAAGGAUCGGCUAACUCCGUGCCAGCAGCCGCGGUAAUACGGAGGAUCCAAGCGUUAUCCGGAAUCAUUGGGUUUAAAGGGUCCGUAGGCGGUCUUAUAAGUCAGUGGUGAAAUCCGGCAGCUCAACUGUCGAACUGCCAUUGAUACUGUAAGACUUGAAUUACUGUGAAGUAACUAGAAUAUGUAGUGUAGCGGUGAAAUGCUUAGAUAUUACAUGGAAUACCAAUUGCGAAGGCAGGUUACUAACAUUAUAUUGACGCUGAUGGACGAAAGCGUGGGUAGCGAACAGG
rnacentral:rRNA from 1 species